AAUCAACACGCGACUCCCCACAUAAUGGGUUUCCGUGCAGCACUCUGAGAGGCUCACGAGUUUCCAUGGGCCACAACGUCCUGAGCGGUACAAUGACAGAGUGAUGGCAGGGUGAGGAUACCAGGGUGAAUCAGGCCGUUUGGAAGGCACUAUCCUGGUCUCCUGGCUGCAUGCAGGGUGCACCUGUGGAGAGCAGCUUUGGCGCUGAAGCUGUGGCCGGCAGGCUGGCUGCAUCCUGGCCAGACGCUGCCCAGGGGCAUCAGAACCUUUUCAUCUCGACACCGAUCCCAGCAUCACGGAUUCUCGGGACCUUGCUUCUGCUUCCGGGGAGCGUUCGGCGGCCCCUCCUGUGGGCGUUCAUCUCAGCAUCUUCUCAAGCCACUUGUGUCGGCUCGGGCCCUGAAUCAGCGAGAACGGAAAACAGCCCGUACCCUCCUGGAGCACCCUGAUCAGGAGAGAGACCCUCACCCACGACAACCCCAGGCUCCACCAGACAGCUCACAGAGAGGGCCAGCGUGGCCCAGGGAGGCCGAUCCAGUCAGUCCUGGGCACCCUGGCUCUGUGCCAGGGACCAGGCUGACCAGGGCACAGCACGCAGACCCUGCUGUCAAGGAGAUGACAGUGCAUCCUAGAAGAUCCUAGAUGAACAUCUGAGCCACCUGGGAUGUCGUGCCAUGUUCGAAGCCCCUAUUCUGCACCCGAUCCUUUUGGCACAGGACAGCAGCUCUGACUGCAGAAGGUGAUAGGCACACAGCAACCAAGAAGGGUCCCAGCAGGUAAGGAAGGCCCCCGGAUUUGAGGCACGGUCUUGGCCAGGCCUCCUCUGCUCACCCCGUGUUGCCAUUUUCUUUUUACACCCAGCCUGCUAUAGAAUGCUUGACUUAGGAGAAGCAAGAGCUAGCCCUGAUUCCAAAGGAGGACACAAGAAUUCAAUGGAAAGAUGUGGUUUAAUUCAUACAAUCGCAGGAAAAGCUCAGCAACUAGAUAUUAAUAUAAGAGAACCAUAAUAAAUAAACUAUAGUAAUUAACACAUAUUGAGCACCUACUGUGGGCCAAUCAUUAUUCUAAAACUUUACAUGUGUUGACUUACUCACAGCAAUGCAAAAACUCCUGAUUUUACAGAUGAAGAAACAGAGAAGUCAAGUAAGGAACCUGAGGUCACGCAGCUAGGAAACUUCAGAUAUUAACUUGAACUACCAACUUCAGCCUAGGAAUCAGAGCUUCUUCCUACUAUUUAGGAAAUGGAAGACAAGGCCAGCCAUGUAGGUAGAAGAAAUAAAGUACAGUUUUCUCUAGUAAGUGGCACGUGCGUUGAACCCUGCUGAGGACACCUGGAUGGCAAGUUCCCCAGACUACAUAGGUCCACACAGGAUUCUACACAAGUAAACAAACAAACAGAUGAUGGAUCUACUAAUAAAGAAAAAUGAUCCCAGAGCCCUCUUAUUUUGUGUAUGACUAAACAAAGAUCAAGGCGAAUCUGUCAAUGUGCAUUUACAAAAGACAGUACCUCACAAAGUACGUUCCUCACAAGUACCUGUGAGGGCUUCUGUGUCCAGGUAAAGGCAUGCAUUGAUUGUUAUGCAUGUAUUAAUAUCAAAAUAAUAGAACUCUGGCU